AAAGCCUCAGGUUUCUGGAGGAAGGUUCGUCCGCUCCAGGUUAGUCGGGAGCUAAGGUGAGGCCUAACGGCGUAGCCGAUGCACAGACGGUAGAGAUUCCGUCACCACCAAAAGAGUUAAACACAGGGACACAUUUGAAGUCUCGGAGCCGGGUGUUGGUUCCGGUAGCGAUCGAGGGAAGUUAGUACCGAAGUCCGGGAUGGAAGAUGGCGAGAAAAGCUGUGUGUAUUUCUGCGGUGCCCGUACCGCAAACCGACACAGGUAGGUAGGAAGAAGAUUCUAAGGCCAACGGGAGAAGGGUUGUUAAGGAACUCGGCAAAUUGACCCCGUAACUUCGGGAGAAGGGGUGCUCCAGAGAUGGAGCCGCAGAGAAUCGGCCCAAGCAACUGUUUACCAAAAACACAGGUUUGUGCUAAAUCGAAAGAUGACGUAUACGAGCUGACGCCUGCCCGGUGCUGGAAGGUUAAGAGGAGAUGUGCAAGCAUUGAAUCGAAGCCCCAGUGAACGGCGGCCGUAACGAUAACGGUCCUAAGGUAGCGAAAUUCCUUGUCAGGUAAGUUCUGACCCGCAUGAAAGGCGUAAUGAUUUGGGCACUGUCUCGACAGCCCGCCCGGCGAAAUUGUAGUACCGGUGAAGAUGCCGGUUACCCGCGACAAGACGGAAAGACCCCAUGGAGCUUUACUGUAGCCUAAUAUUGGGUUUCGAUGUUGCAUGCACAGGAUAGAUGGGACACAGGGAAACAAGUGCUUUGGCAUUUGUGGAGUGGCCGUUGGGAUACCAUCCUUGCGAUAUUGGAAUUCUAACUUGCGCCUUUGAAUCAAGGCGGGGGACAUUGUUAGGUGGGCAGUUCGACUGGGGCGGUCGCCUCCUAAAGAGUAACGGAGGCGUUCAAAGGUUCGCUCAGCUUGAACGGAAAUCAAGCAAAAGAGUGCAAACGCAGAAGCGAGCCUAACUGCGAGACUGACGGGUCGAGCAGUAACGAAAGUUGGAGUUAGUGAUCCGGUGGUAUGUGAGUGGAAAUGCCAUCGCUCAACGGAUAAAAGUUACCCUGGGGAUAACAGGCUGAUCUCCCCCAAGAGUCCACAUCGACGGGGAGGUUUGGCACCUCGAUGUCGGCUCAUCGCAUCCUGGGGCUGUAUUCGGUCCCAAGGGUUUGGCUGUUCGCCAAUUAAAGCGGUACGCGAGCUGGGUUCAGAACGUCGUGAGACAGUUCGGUCCCUAUCUGUCGUGGGCGCAGGAUAUUUGAUGGGAGCUGUUCCUAGUACGAGAGGACCGGAGCGGACGUACCUCUGGCGCACCAGUUGUUCUGCCAAGGGCAUAGCUGGGCAACUAUGUACGGAUCGGAUAAACGCUGAAAGCAUCUAAGCGUGAAGCCGACCCAAAGAUAAGAUAUCCCAUUGUUUUAAACAAGUAAGACCCCUUGAAGACUACAAGGUUGAUAGGCACGAUGUGUAAGUGGAGUGAUCCAUUCAGCAAGCGUGUACUAAUAGGUCGAGGGCUUGAUC
rnacentral:rRNA from 1 species